ACUCUCUCAUUUCUUCAUAGUCGCACUUGUCUUCAUCAGUGUGACUUCAUAACAGGGAAAGAGAGAAAUGAUCUCAGGAACUCAGACUGGCCUUAUGGUGGCCUCUUUCCUUGAAAGGCUCAACAGGU
rnacentral:snoRNA from 1 species